UACGUAGGGCGCAAGCGUUGUCCGGAAUUAUUGGGCGUAAAGAGCUCGUAGGCGGUUUGUCGCGUCUGCCGUGAAAGUCCGGGGCUCAACUCCGGAUCUGCGGUGGGUACGGGCAGACUAGAGUGAUGUAGGGGAGACUGGAAUUCCUGGUGUAGCGGUGAAAUGCGCAGAUAUCGGGGAGGAACACCGGUGGCGAAGGCGGUUCUCUGGGCCUUACCUGACGCUGAGGAGCGAAAGCGUGGGGAGCGAACAGG
rnacentral:rRNA from 1 species